rnacentral:lncRNA from 1 species
UGGACCAUACACCAGCUAAGGCUUUAGAUCCCCAAAAUACUGCUAAAGCUAGUAGUUUCCAAGAAUUGGUCAGAUAAGACCUAAUCACUGAUUCAAAAUCAUUCUAUCUUGCAGGAUUUCGAGAGUUGUGGAUGUUUACUUUAAUACCUUAUGGGCUUUAUCUGUAAUAUUCCAGUUUACUCGAAUUUUUACAACGAUGGCUUUCACACUAUCGUCUUUUUCAAGGUUAAUAUUAUUUUCUCUUUUCUCUUUUUUUUUAUUUUUUUAAUUAUUUUUUAUUAUUUUUUAUUAUUUUUUUAUUUUAUAUUUAUUACGCACUUUUACUCUUGUAAUGAUUCCUCCAUGUAACGAGCAUUCAGUCAACACUCCCACGCCAGAUGGCAUAAGGUGUUGGGCAUCAAGACUCC